GGUUGCAGAAUCAUAGACCAUUUGGUGGAUGGCUUGGCUCUGAUGAUGCGCGCCGUGGCAAGCUGCGAUAUGCCUCGGGGAGAAGCAUGCAUUCGAUAAUCCGAGGGUUGCGCGCAACGCGGGAAAUUGAAACAUCUUAGUACUCGCAGGAAAAGAAACCAAACUAGGCAUUCGGGUAGUAACGGCGAGUGAACCCCGAGAAGGGCAAACUGAAUCCUUUGCAGCAAUGCAGGGGAGAUGUGGGCAUCUCAACCAUCCGUUGUGUUAGCUGAGGUCUCCUGGAAAGGAGCGCCACAGAGUGUGAUAGCCACGUAGGCGGAGCACUGCGGAGGGGGAUGCAGAGAGUAGCGCUGCCCGGAUUGGUAGUGUGAAUAUGGGAGCACUAGCUCCUAACCCUAAAUAGCCUUCAGAGACCGAUAGCGAAUGAGUAGCGCGAGCGAACGCUGAAAAGGACCCCGGGAGGGGUGUUAAAAGAGCCUGAACCCAAAUGGUUACAAUUUGAUGCAGUGUGAAAGGAAUGCAGCGUGCCGAAGUAAAAGCCCGCGAGGGCCCGAGCGAGGCAUGCGAAGCAGCAUUGCAUCUUCCUUCUCUAAGCAAGGACCAGGGAGUGUAAUGUAGUGGCAAGGCGAGAGCCGGAGCGAAAGCAAUGGUGCGCAGGAAACAAGGCACAACCUUUGAAAAGGGGUAAGUCACUAUGUUACGACCCGAAGCUGAUGUGAACUACACGUGAGCAGGGCGAAGCCAACCCGAAGGUUGGUAGAGGCCCUCAACCGCUACUGGUAUAUCCGUUCGGGUGACUUACGUGUAGGGGUGAUAGUCCUAUCGAACUCAGCAAUAGCGGGUUCCCUCCGAAAUAUCUCUCAGGAUAGCCCUGUUUGAGGAAGAUCACGCGGUAGAGCACUGAUUAUGAGGAACGGGAUCGAAAGGUCUCGCCUUGUUAUCAAACGAGCCCUUUUUCUUUUGUAAAAGAAAAAGCCCUCGGGGAAAAAGAAAACAUUUACCCCAUAUUGAAUGGGCAUUUUUUCAAAAAUAUAAAAAGGGUUUGGGUGAAACUCCGAAUGCGUUUUCUCCGUAGACGACAGGAGUCGGGGGUGGCGGGUAAGCUGCCGCCCCGUAACCGGAUCAACGGUGCCUUGGGUUAAGGCCCAUAAUACUCGGUUAAGUGUAAGGAGUAAAGAACUCAUUUUUCUUAGACAGUCGGGAGGUAGGCUCAGAAGCAGCCAUCCUUUAAACAACGCGUAAUAGCGGACCGGCCGAGAAAAAUGGCUUUGAAGAUAAACUGGGCUCAAACCGAGAGCCGAUACCCAAGAGGAUUAUCGAAAGAUAAUUUUGGUAGGAGGGUGAACUUGCGGGGCAGAAGCAUGGCCGUGAGGUCAUGUGGACCUGCAAGUUAUAAAUAUCCUGGUGUUAGUAACAGCAUAUCCAGGUGAGAAUCUUGGACGUCGAAUGCACACGGGUUUCUCGGCAAUGUUUGUCAGCUGAGAGUUAGGCGAUCCUAAGGUUGACGGUAAUUCCAGUCAACCAAAAGGGAAAGCGGUUAAUACUCCGCUCCCAUAUGGGUAGGCGUGGUAACACAAGCCACACUUAUGACGCCUUUGGGUAGACCGGCUUGUUAACUACUAUAGGCCUGCAGAGACUCAUGAUGAGGAGAAGCAGGCUAAAUGUAUAUCGGUUGAUCCCGGGGGCCCAUGAAAAGUAAGCGUGGAACGAUCCCAUGUGACCGUACCUAGAACCAGUACAGGUGUUGCUGGCUGAAAAAGCCAAGACGUGUCAGGAGAACUUAGGUUAGGGAACUCGGCAAGAUAGCCCCGUACCUUCGGUAUAAGGGGUGCCUGAAGUCGCGAGACUACAGGUCGCAGUAACAAGGGGAGGCCGACUGUUUAUCAAAAACACAGAUCAUAGCAAGGUCGUAAGGCCAUGUACUAUGGUCGACGCCUGCUCACUACCGGUACGUGAAACCCCACUUCAAUGGGACUAAGCGCCGGCAAAGAGCGGGGGUAACUCUGACCCUCAACAAAGGGUGUGUUUGGAUGAACAGAAGCUAAAAGUGGCGCCAAAGUAUUACGCAAAUGGCCUAUAGGGGGUCGUUAAAUUCGGCUGUAUGCUGGAAACCCAGAGCCAACAGGUCCAUAAGCCAGCGCGGCGAAUGGAAAAAUCCUGGAGGCAAUGAGGGCAAUCAGCAGGAAACUUCAGCAAAUGCAGGAGGAUCCUCAGAGACUAUACGCCGAACAUCCGCAGUUGCGGAUGAUGAUAUAGUCCGACACUCCAAGUAAUUGGAGAUUUUUUAACAAAUAGCUUAAGGUAGCGUAAUACCUCGCCGCUUAAUUGGCGGCUUAGGAAAGAAUUCUUGCAAAUGCAAAUAUUGAUAGAAUGAGCUCUUUCCGCCGAUGCAUGAAUGGCGUAACGAGCCUCCUACUGUCCCAACCUAGGACCUGGUGAACUCACUACACUGUGAAUAUGCAGUGUACUUCCAGUGGGAAACGAAGACCCCGUGGAGCUUUACUAUAGUCUGCACUUGUGGUAUUUUGAAUGAUGCGCAGCGUAAUUGGGAGCCGUCAUGUUGCACCUUGCGGGGUGCAAAUAGGCAACAAUGUAACACCAAUCUUCAUUUAGACUACUGCUUACCGAAAGGAACAGGUACAGAUGGAUAGUUUGGCUGGGGCGGUACGCCCUCGAAACGAUAACAAGGGCGCCCAAAGUUCUGCUUAGGCGGGUCAGAAAUCCGCCGUUAAGGGUCAAAGACAAAUGCAGGAUUGACUGUAUUCCUAAACGCAUGGGAUGCAGAGGCGAAAGCCGGGCUUAGCGAACCUUAGAGUCCCCGCUAGUGGGGGCCUAAGCUGUCAGACAAGCUACCCCGGGGGUAACAGGCUCGUCGCGGGCGAGAGAUGGUAAAUCUCCGCCUUUUUAGAUUGUGCCUAUCCCAAUAAUUGGACUGAAGAUAACUCCUAAAAAAUAUCUCUGUCCUACUGGAUAAAUACGAACGAAAUCGUCGAUGGCGUUUCGCAAUCUAGCUAAUAUAUCAUAACCAGGCGAUGGGACAUUUAUGGAGAUUCUCCACUCAAAUACCCAUCGACCCCGCGGUUUGGUACAUCGCUGUCGGCUCAGGUCAUCCUGGCGGUGCAGGAGCCGCCAAGGGUUGGGUUGUUCAUCCAUUAAAGACCUACGUGAGCUGGGUUCAGAACGUCGACUUAGGCGUUGCAUAGCCGUAAGGCUAUGAAAAAUUAAAUUGGCUCAUAUCGGUGAACCCUUGACCUC
rfam:Candidatus Micrarchaeota archaeon CG1_02_49_24 cg1_0.2_scaffold_4151_c, whole genome shotgun sequence.